rnacentral:lncRNA from 1 species
AAAGAUCAAGUGAACGACAGAACAGAUGAAUAUGGUGGAUCCCUUGAGAACCGUUGUCGGAUUGUUUUGGAAGUUGUUGAAGCUGUUGCAAAUGAGAUAGGUGCAGAUAGAACUGGAAUUAGAUUAUCACCUUUUUCAGAAUAUGCAGAAUGUGUAGACUCUAAUCCCAGAGAAUUGGGACUUUAUAUGGCUAAUGCCCUCAAUAAAUAUGGUAUUCUUUACUGUCAUGUGGUGGAACCAAGAAUGAAAACUGUUAAUGAAAGAAUUGAAUGCUCUCACAGCCUUGUGCCGAUGAGAAAGGCCUUCAAAGGCACUUUCCUGGCUGCAGGAGGUUACGACCGAAAUGAUGGGAUCAAUGCCAUAGCUGAAAAUAGGACAGACCUUGUUGUAUAUGGUCGUUUGUUCUUAGCUAAUCCAGAUUUGCCGAAGAGAUUUGCACUUAAUGCUCCUCUAAACAAGUAUAACAGGGCGACAUUCUACACUUCAGAUCCAGUUAUAGGUUAUACUGACUACCCUUUUCUUGAAUGAAGAAACCAGUGUUGUAGCAUCAAAGUGUGGAAUCUCUUCACUAAAUAAGUUCAAUACCCCUUUGCUAAUUGCUUUCUGCUAUUGAUUCCUCUCAUGCUUAGUCUGAUAAUGCUUUGGAGUUUGGAGCCAGCUCACACAUUUUGUAAAUGGUCAGGAAAACAUAGUAUGUAAGAGUAAAACUACUUUUGUAUGUGAUAAAGUCACUGUAUGCCAAAAAGAAGUUUACCUGAUUUUACAAAAUUACAAUACGCGUUUUGUGCUAACAAGAGGAUUAUUUCCAUUGUCUCGUCUUUGUUUCUUCAAUCAAUCCAUGUGUCUUUUAGAUGUUGAUGGUAUAAAUAACUAAAAUGAUGGAAACAUGAUCAAAAUUAUUUUCUGUUUAUUGGGUUAAAAUACCAAUGGUAAGCCGAAAAUAUGCAACCGAUAUAUUCCAAAUGCAAAGCUUUGCACAGCAGAAUUUUGAUCCAAGUCUAAAAUUGUAGCUUUCAUGCAUAUAGGAAGACAUAAAAUUCAUACAAAUACUUCAACUGCCUGGUCCUCGUUUCUAUAUCCCUACUUGCAAAGUUUUCAACUGUUGUAUCCCUAAUGCAGGAACUUGAAACACUCUAGGCAAGACUUCCACAUUGUAGCAAACCAAAGUUUGAACCUUAGCUGUGAUGUCUGCCACACUUCGAACCACUUUUGGCCUUGGGCCCUCUUUUGUACCAAAAAGAAAAAAGUAUUGACACACAAAUCCUUCCAAAUGAAUGGAAGAGAACGACUCCCUCUCAAAGCAAGCCGCCACUUUCCAUUUAAGUGUCAAUAUAAAAUUAGUAAAAUUAUUACAAAUCUUCAACUUUAUAUAGUUACUUUUCCAUCAGAAACAAAUCAUUCUUAUGGAAGUGAUUCAACAUUUCCUUUGUCACAAGGUAGGUGUAAUGUAUCUUGUAGUCGUUCGUGUCAUUGCCAACUAGUAGUAUGAUGUUAUAUGUACAAUAUGUUUCACCCUUUGAGUAGAAUCAUUAUAAUUUAAAGGGAAAAAAAUGGUUGAAAACCCCUAUUAAAUCUGAUAGCGUAACGACCGGAUCCAACCACCACGAUUUGUACAGUUCAAUUAUAUAUAUUAACGUAUUUCAAUAGAUAUGAUAAAAAUGAAAAGGGAAUAAGUUGAGAGAAGAAAAAAUGUAAGAAGGAAACAUAAAAUGAUGUGAGAGAUUAAGAAAUGAGGGUAUGUAUUUAUAGUAUUUAUAGAAUUUUUACUAAGGUGCUGUUUGACCCGACUUUUUUUCAACUUUUCUGCAUUUUUAAGGAGAAGUUAUGUCAAACACAAUAUCAAUUAAAUUUAUGUUAUUAUUUCUCCUAUUCAAAUAUUUAACAAGUCAUGAUACAAAUUUGUAUUCAUGUUACAUAAAAUAAAAGUCAUUGAAUAAAUAUAAUAUUUGUAAAAAAAAAAUCUUUUAUAUUUUAAAUAUUUUUACCCUUCAGAACAUAUUUUAAACAUUUUUUUAUUUAUAAUGUUAAUUCAUAAUAAAUUCAAAGUUUUAUCCUCGUGGGCUUAGCUCAGUUGAUAGGGAUAAUGCAUAAAUAUAUGCAAAGUUCGGGGUUCGAACCCGAACACCAUAAAAUAAAAAUAAUAAAUUCAAAGUUUGUACAAUAUUUUGUCAAACAAUUUUUAACUUAAAAAUAACUCUAAAACUAAAAAAAAAAAAAAAUACAUAGAAAAAACCAAACAACUUUAGCUUAGAAAACUACAUCUCAAGUCCCGCUUGUAGGGAUGGCAAUGGGUACCCAAUGGGGGGUACUACAGUGUCCGUCCUCAUACUCGCAUUUAUAAAAAAUACCCGUGCCCGUACCCUCGUGGGCAACAACUUUAGUCCCCUUCCCCAUAUCCUAUGGGUACCUAAUUGCCCAUACCCGCACCCAUUACACGCACUUUAACUAUGAAAAAACAAAAAAAAACAUCACAAAUGAAAUAAAACUACGAUCCCAAUUUUUUAAAAUUAACUCAUAAAAUAAUAUGAAUCGUGGUAUUUAGUCAAAUAGAAAACAUUCAAAAUAUCCCUAAAAAAUUAUACACCAACAGGCAUGAUAGAGUUGUUAUUGUAUUAAGCAGUUGUUUGGUUUAAGUUUAGGUUUAAGCUUAAAUAGCUAAAUUAAUUAAUUAAUUAAUUAUACAUAAAAAAUAAUAAAUAAAUAAUUUAUGAUAUUAUAUAAACAUGUAUAUGCGAGGUUGUGGGUCUGGGCAAUAUAGUACUCUUAUUCGUGUCCAUACCCAUUUAAUUUUGUAGGUAUUACCCGUACCCGUGCUCAGACUCAUAAAAGUGGGGUUUUAUCCUACCCAUUGUGGGUAUUUUUUGCGGGUACCUAUUGAAUCUGGGUCCAAUUGCCAUCCCUACCCGCUUGUGACAUAUAAUAAGGGAAAAAAAAAAUCAGCUUUUUAGUAUGUCGCAAGGCAGAGGGGUUGCAUGUCGCAAGUUGAAAAAAAGUAUGGUAGAGUUGGAAGAAAAAAAAUAAACUAGGGUAGUGUUAUUUUUUAGGAAACAACUAGGGUAGUUUUAGAAUUUUGUUUUUAAAGCAGGGUAGAAAUUUUUUUCCUUCAGAUUUUGGUUGUGCAAUUUGUACUGUACUGUGCAUGGCAACCAACUAUGUUUUCAAUGAUAAGAAGAUCUAUGGUGCUGCUGCUGUUAUUCCCAAAUACAGCAAGUUUGCUCCUCUUAGUCGUCGUUUUGUUUCAACCCUGAUGCCGCGGCUGUCCCCUCUUUUCCUCGUGACUAUUGCGGUAAUUACUACAAUGCUAUCAAUACUUUCAAUAUACUGCUUGAUCGAGGCUACUCUUCCAUAUAGUAAUUACAAUUAUGUUCUUUCUACCCUUGCUAGAAUGGGUUCUUCCCGAGUUGUUGUCAUCCCAAUUCAAUAAUCGUCUUGUUGUCCCAAACAUUCAUCAUACUUUGACUAUUCUCAUCCAAUCCAUCCCACUCUAGAGCAGGUAACAUGUCUUCAGCUAUCGACUCAUUAUCCUACUACUCAAACUUUGAACGAUCUUUUAGAUUUUUUUUUGUCGUAGACACCAGAUUCACCAAGCAAUACAUUUUCUUAAUGAUAUCAUACUUACAAACAGUAAUCUUGUAUUGAACUGCCGUAGUUAUAGUAUUCUAAUGAGGUACCCAUCUUUCUUGUUUUAUGUUUGUUUGAUUAUAUAAAGAAUUGUAGUUUGCAAUGGAAUUUGAUACGUUUCUCCUCUAUUUUGGUGAGAGAUAAUUAGUCUUUUAAACCGAUCAUUCAAGACUGAAAUGAGAUGUUCAGGAUUUUCUCAAUUUCUUUAGGAUAACAGUUUCAAUUUCAUCCAUAGAAACACAAAUUAACAUUUCUAUAGGCUCCUAACUUGCGGUCUGCCCUAUUUCCACCCCUAGUUUUAAUGCAUAUAUACAAUUUAGCAAAUCAGUAUACUACUUUUAUAAUGGACAAAUAUAUUUUAUCAAUUCAACAUGCCAAGUCCGUGUUGACCUCAAUUCUCUAUUUCCUACUUUAAUACUUAAAGUUUAGAUGUUCAAUAAACAGCUUACAGGGCUGUGGGAACUAACCCUUAUCAUACAAAAUCUGUCUCCAAGUCUGGAGUAGUUUCUUAGUUAAUGUUUCAUUCAUGUUUUUAUUAAUUUUGAAACUUUAUUGUUUCUUAUUUUAUGCUUUGCACAUAAAUAUUAUAGGUGGAUAUGAAAUUUCCUUGGAAGAGAAUAAGACAAUAUAGUUAGUUCUAAAAUUGUUUUGGUUCAUCGCAUUGAAGGUAUGAAGUUUUUUUUUUUUUUUUUUUUUUUUUUUGAAUCUGAAUCAUGUUCUGAAAUGUUCCCUUAUUACUAAUAACUAAUAGAGGAUAAAUUAUAGAUCCAGAGUUGGAUUGACUAACCCUGUCUUGGUUAUAAAAAACCAACAGUAUCUACUGCACUUUCCUUCAAUAACAGGUUAGAAGUUUUUCAGAUUGAAAUUUUUGCCAUUAGAGCUGCAGUAGCAUUGUUAUUAAAAUCUUGAUCAGAAUUCUGAAAUACUACGAUUUGUUGUCUUGCCGAUCUUAAUCCUAAGUAGAAUUGUAAACUGCAAUAUCCGUUCGAAAUUGUUUAUGUUUAAGCGAUUUUGUGUUGCCUUAUAAUUGGCGCGUCCGUGAUGUGACGUAGACUUGUAGUUUUUAGAAUUUGAGUAUUUUGUAUACUUGGUUGUUUUGUAUUUAAGAUUUAAGAUUUGAGAUUUUAAGUCGAUUAUGUUUAAGCUUUGCCACUAGUUUGUUUUAUGUUUAAGAUUUGAGAUUUGGUUGUUUAAGUUUGCUUUAAGUUUUCAAACUCUUUAAGUUUAUUUUUUUGUUUUGAGAGAAACUCUUAAGUUGUUUAUGCACUUUACGGUAUAUAUUUAAUAUUAUUCGAGUAGAAUCUUUUGAUUUUGGUUGCGAUCUUGCUAUCGCCUUUCAAUUCUACAAAAUCAAUUGAGUAGAAUCCAUUAAUUUUGGUUGCGAUUUUAGGUUUUGCGAUUUAACUAUCCUCUUUGAUCAGAAGCAAAAUCUUAAUUUUAACGUUAGUGUGUAUAUGGAAGCCUUUCAACGUAUGUGACAUUGGGAGGGUCCUCAACAAAUCAGAAGCUUCAUGUAGAUGGUAAUGGAAUGUGGUUUGAAGGCAGAUGAAAAAACAUCUACUAUUACUUCUUCUUUUUUUGAAAGAAAACAUCUACUAUUACUAUUACUAUAUAUAUGCCUAAUUAGAAAAUAUAGUAAUGCAAUGGGAUUUUAGUUUACGUGAAUCUUAUGAUUUUUCUUAACAAAUGUCUAACUACUUUUACUAUAUGCCUAAUUAAAACGCCAAGCAACAACGUUUUGCCUUAAUUUACCAUUAUCUGCAAUCGUCUCUUCUUUUUUUUUAAUAUAAUUAGCUCCAAUAUCUCGCAACCACCUUAAGCACACCAAUCAAGUUCCACCAAAUGCACAUCACCAAUUAUUACUCUAGCAUACAAGUUUGGUCAUGGAAAAACCAAUCCAUCUAUGGCCAACAAUACUCAAGCAACAUAAAUACAUUAUAUAGCAGAUUCCACAAGAGUCGUCGUCGCUAAUCAUUUGUUGUAUAUUUUAGAUCACCGUCUCCCUCUAUUUCAGGUUGUUGUUGUUGAAAGACUACCAUAAAAAAUUCAUCAAGGUGUUUCUAAUAUCUAAUUUCUAAUAUCCUUAAUAAAUAAAUCAACUUUCAUAUGUUUAGUCCGCACUAAAGUAUAUAAAAUAAAACAUUGUUCUGUAUUGAUGAAAUAUAAACUAGUUCCAAAGGUUGCUAUAAUUAGUAAUUCAAUGAUCAGCACCAAUAAAUAUAUUUCGUAAAGAAGACUUCGUGAUCACAUUAGUCAAAUUGGACUGCGGUGAGAUACUAACUAUCUCCAAGGUGAGAGAAAGUACAACGUAAUACCUCACGUCACCAACAAGUAUAAUAAAUUAAUAAUAAACCGCCAUCACAUAAGUUUCACUAUAAAAUACUUCAACUACAACUACAACUUCACAUUCAAUUUCAAAUUGUGCAUCACUUAAUAACGUAAUCAAGUGAAAAUGGCUGGUAUUGUUGAAUCUGAUCCAAUUCCUCUUCUUACUCCUUACAAAAUGAGAAAAUUCAAUCUAGCUCAUAGGUAUUUUUAUCUUUUCAUAUAAUCUCAUAUUCAAUUUCAAGUGCUCAAAUGUUCACAUAACAAUUUACUCAUUUCAUUUCAGAGUUGUUUUGGCACCACUCACAAGACAAAGAUCUUAUGGCAACGUUCCACAACCUCAUGCUAUCCUCUAUUACUCACAGAGAGCCACCGGCUCUAACGGAGGUCUUCUCAUAACCGAAGCUACCGGUGUCUCUGACACCGCUCAAGGGUAUCCAGAUACGCCAGGUAUUUGGACUAAAGAGCAUGUCGAGGCAUGGAAACCCAUUGUGGAUGCUGUUCAUGCUAAAGGUGCUACCAUCUUUUGUCAGAUUUGGCAUGUUGGAAGAGUUUCUGAUUCAGGUAUGUUCUAUGAUACAUGCAAAGAAACUUCUAUCUCUUCAAAUUAUCCAAGUUUCUUUGCAUGAAGAUACAUGCCUAAAAUAAUUUUGAAAUGACAUAAAACAUAAAUCAGUGAUUUUGUUGAUUUGAACUUCUUUGCUUUUGAUUGACCUGCAAUGCAUCUAUCUGUUCUUUUCCCCCAACUACAGUUUUUCAGCCAAAUGGACAGGCACCAAUAUCAUCUACAGACAAGUCACUCACACCACAAAUUCGAAGUAAUGGUUUUAAUAUUGCAAAAUUCACACCGCCUAGACGGCUAAGGACAGAUGAAAUUCCUAACAUUGUCAAUGACUUCAGACUUGCUGCAAGAAAUGCUAUUGAAGCUGGUAACUUUACUAAUCUUUACAAAUGUCCAAAAUAAAUAAACAUAUAAAAUCUUCAAUGUAUCAUAGUACAAUGUUUGUGAUACAUAGAUCUUUUUGCUGCUUUAGAGAGCACUGGGACAUUUUACAAUUAUAUAACAUACUUACUAGGGCGCAAAUUGCAGGAUUUGAUGGGGUUGAAAUCCAUGGAGCUCAUGGCUACCUCCUUGAGCAAUUCAUGAAAGAUAAAGUGAAUGACAGGACAGAUGAAUAUGGUGGGUCUCUGGAGAACCGCUGUCGAUUUGCUUUGGAAGUUGUUGAAGCUGUUGCAAAUGAGAUAGGAGCAGAAAGAGUUGGAAUAAGAUUAUCACCUUUUGCGGAGUAUGCAGAAUGUGGAGACUCCAACCCCAAUGAAUUGGGACUUUAUAUGGUCAAUGCCCUCAAUAAAUAUGGUAUUCUUUACUGUCAUAUGGUGGAACCAAGAAUGAAAACUGUUGGUGAAAAAACUGAAUGCCCCGACAGCCUUGUGCCAAUGAGAAAGGCCUUCAAAGGCACUUUCAUGGUUGCAGGAGGUUACGACCGACAUGAUGGGAUCAAUGCCAUAGCUGAAAACAGGGCAGACCUUGUUGUAUAUGGUCGUUUGUUCUUAGCUAAUCCAGAUUUACCAAAGAGAUUUGCACUUGAUGCUCCUCUGAACAAAUAUAACAGGGAGACGUUCUACAUUUCUGAUCCAGUUCUAGGUUAUACUGACUACCCCUUUCUUGAAUGAAGAAACUGAUGCUGUAGCAUCCAAGUGUGGAAUCUCCUCACUAAAUAAGUUCAUUAUCCCUUGCAAAUUGAUUUCUGCUAUUGA